rnacentral:rRNA from 1 species
UUAUACAUUGAUUUCCUAAUUUCUAUCUUGUUAUUUUUGAACCUUUUAACAGUUAUUAUUCAUUUGUCUAGUGAAAUCGUAUUCCAUUUGUAAAUAAAAGCUUUAGUUCAAUAAAAUAAAUUUAAUAAUAAAACUAGGAUUAGAUACCCUAUUAUUCUAAAUUUUAAAUAUUAAGAAGUAAAAUAAAUCUCAAACUUAAUCAGGACGACGGUAGAAUUUUAUUAGAGGAGGUUGUUCUUUAAUCGAUAACCCUCGCUCGUUUCUUUUUCUUUAUUAUGUAUAUCGCCGUUGAAACUCAACUUAAGAUUGAGUUAACUUAUUUAUAACUAUAGGUCAACAGGUCUAGAUACAAAUAAUGUAAAAGUGUGAAAUGACCUACAAAAUACAAAUAAUCUUAGUGGUAUCCAGUAUAAUGCUAGAUACCAAAGGAUUUAAAAGUAAUAUUAAUUAAUUCUAAUAGUAUAAUGAAUUACACUGAUUCUAUGCAC